GCACCUUGCCCAUCCCAUGUGAGUGCUUUUGAGAAGGCGGUGAGGGGGUUCGCUGAUAACCCGACUAAAAAUGUGAUCAUUCCAACACUUGGGACAAGUUUUGACUCGUUCGGCGAGGCUUAUGAUUUCUAUAUCUUAUAUUCUUGGAAGAAGGGCUUCGGGAUCAGGUAUGGGAAGAACUGA
rnacentral:rRNA from 1 species